rnacentral:lncRNA from 1 species
UUUGAUUUAAGAUGCUUUGUGAUGCACCUUCUGCACCAAGGUCUUCCAGCCUUUCACCAGAACUUUGUGAUCAUCCAGAGAGCCAAAAAGGCUCUAGCCGCAUGUCUUACAGACUUUUACGGACGUAGCAGAGGUCAAAAUAAACGGAGAUUGAGAAAGGAAUAAGACAACAAUUUAAAUGUGUUACUGUAAGUGAAAAAUCAAUGAACUGUGUAACUGAUCAUCUGAAGAAGUUCUGAAAAUCCCCCAAACUGGUCAAUGUCUACCACGAG